rnacentral:rRNA from 1 species
UUGUCUUGUAAUUGGAAUGAUGGUGACGUAAAAUCUCACCAGAGUAACAAUUGGAGGGCAAGUCUGGUGCCAGCAGCCGCGGUAAUUCCAGCUCCAAUAGCGUAUAUUAAACUUGUUGCAGUUAAAAAGCUCGUAGUUGAAUUUCUGCGUUGCCCGACUCGGCUACUUGCCUUGUCUGGUUUCGCUUUUGGGGUUUUCCCCUUUUUACUUUGAGAAAAUUAGAGUGUUUCAAGCAGACUUGUGUCUUGAAUACUUCAGCAUGGAAUAAUAAAGUAGGACUUUGGUUCUAUUUUGUUGGUUUG